rnacentral:rRNA from 1 species
UACGAGUGCCCCAAGCGUUAUCCGGAAUCAUUGGGCGUAAAGGGUGUGUAGGUGGUUGUGUUAGUCUUCUGUUAAAUUCUUCGGCUUAACCGGGGGCAUGCAGGGGAAACGGCACAACUAGAGGAUGCGAGAGGUGAAUGGAACUCAUGGAGUAGGGGUGAAAUCCGUUGAUAUCAUGGGGAACACCGAAUGCGAAGGCAAUUCACUGGCGCACUCCUGACACUGAGACACGAAAAGCGUAGGUAGCGAAUGGG